UAAUCUUGGUCUAUAUAAUAUGAGCAACGAUAACAAGUUGCAUAGUCUUCACACAUCUCCGCAACAGUUCGCCACUGAGCCAAUGUGACACCGAUACGUCAGGUGCGGGCUGUCCGAAGCUGCCGAGCGUGUGAUUCAAUGUGACGGAAUAUCGUCGGACUAUUCUCUAAGCGGGCAAGCUUUCGACGCUGACGCGGCGAUGAAGAAUUAUACUGUAAUACAUUGUAGUAUAAAAAGAAUAAAGAUCAUAUUAUGUAAAUGCUUUAUGAUGUGAUUAUUGUAUUA